GACGAACGCUGGCGGCGUGCUUAACACAUGCAAGUCGAACGAAGAGCGAUGGAAGCUUGCUUCUAUCAAUCUUAGUGGCGAACGGGUGAGUAACGCGUAAUCAACCUGCCCUUCAGAGGGGGACAACAGUUGGAAACGACUGCUAAUACCGCAUACGAUCUGACCUCGGCAUCGAGGAUAGAUGAAAGGUGGCCUCUACAUGUAAGCUAUCACUGAAGGAGGGGAUUGCGUCUGAUUAGCUAGUUGGAGGGGUAACGGCCCACCAAGGCGAUGAUCAGUAGCCGGUCUGAGAGGAUGAACGGCCACAUUGGGGCUGAGACACGGCCCAGACUCCUACGGGAGGCAGCAGUGGGGAAUCUUCCGCAAUGGACGAAAGUCUGACGGAGCAACGCCGCGUGAGUGAUGACGGCCUUCGGGUUGUAAAGCUCUGUUAAUCGGGACGAAAGGCCUUUUUGCGAAUAGUGAGAAGGAUUGACGGUACCGGAAUAGAAAGCCACGGCUAACUACGUG
rnacentral:rRNA from 1 species